rnacentral:misc_RNA from 1 species
GAUGAAGAACGUAGCGAAAUGCGAUAAGUAAUGUGAAUUGCAGAAUUCAGUGAAUCAUCGAAUCUUUGAACGCACCUUGCGCCCUUUGGCUAUUCCGAAGGGCAUGCCUGUUUGAGUAUCAUGAACACCUCAACUCCUCAUGGCUUGCCAUGAUGAGCUUGGACUUGGGGGUCUUGCUGGCCUGUGGUCAGCUCCUCUCAAAUGAAUCAGCUUGCCAGUGAUUGGUGGCACCACAGGUGUGAUAAACAUCUACGCUUGUGGUUCCCCACCAUGUAACCUUUAGCGAUAGAGGUUCGCUGGAGCUCACAAAUGUCUUUCCUCAGUGAAGACAGCUCUUUGAUUGUUUGAUCUCAAAUCGGGUAGGACUACCCGCUGAACUUAAGCAUAUCAAUAAGCGGAGGA